rnacentral:rRNA from 1 species
AUUAAACGGCCGCGGUACCCUAACCGUGCAAAGGUAGCGUAAUCACUUGUCUAUUAAUUGUAGACCUGUAUGAAAGGCAAAAUGAGGGUCUAACUGUCUCUUAUAACCAAKCAAUUAAACUGAUCUCCCAGUACAAAAGCUGGAAUUCCAACAUAAGACCAGAAGACCCUGUGAAGCUUAAACCACACUGUCAAACCCUAUGACAACUAAUUUCGGUUGGGGCGACCUUGGAAAAAAAAAGAACUUCCAAAUACUAAAGCUACAAACUAAAGCUAACUUCAGGCCGACAGGCCAAACAACGACCCAGCAAUGCUGAUUAAUGAAACAAGUUACUCCAGGGAUAACAGCGCUAUCUUCUUCAAGAGCCCAUAUCAAAAAGAAGGUUUACGACCUCGAUGUUGGAUCAGGACAUCCUAAUGGUGCAGCCGCUAUUAAGGGUUCGUUUGUUCAACAUUAACAGUCCCACGUGAUCUGA